GACGGAGGAUGCAAGCGUUAUCCGGAAUUAUUGGGCGUAAAGCGUCCGCAGGUGGCUUUUCAAGUCUGUUGUCAAAGCGCGGGGCUUAACUCCGUACAGGCAAUGGAAACUGGGAAGCUAGAGUAUGGUAGGGGUAGAGGGAAUUCCCGGUGUAGCGGUGAAAUGCGUAGAUAUCGGGAAGAACACCAGCGGCGAAAGCGCGCUACUGGGCCAUUACUGACACUCAUGGACGAAAGCUAGGGGAGCGAAAGGG
rnacentral:rRNA from 1 species